rnacentral:lncRNA from 1 species
GACCGGCCAGCACAUGCUCGCUCUUAUUUGCCACUGUCAGAGGCCGAGGGGGAUAUGAUGGAUAUCGGAGAGACGACUUAUAAAGUGAUGAGAGAUCAGUGCAGAAUUUAGAUAUCUGUACAACUCAGACUGGCACUUUUGGAAAAGGAUUUCUCAAAUGUUUCUGCAAUCCGCAAAAAGGUAGAGAGUUUUCAAUAGUUGUUUUCUGUUAAAUGAGCUGAAUUUGCUUUUUGAUAGAAGUUCGGAUGGUUUUCGAUAGUUGAAAUUGGUUUCUGUUCCUCCUUCUUCUGCUGAAAGCUGGAUAUCCUGAAUUUGAUAUCAUGUUUUAAAGCAUUUAUUUGCAGUUUGUGUGAAAAGUUCAAUCGUAUCUGCAUCAUAAAACGGACUAAUCCCGAAAAUCUUGCAGAGAGUCAUGACCCGAUGCCUCCUGAGGAAUUUGGCACAGAAAACUGUGAGUUUGUCUGGAAAAAGAAAAUGUUUUCAGUUGAAAACGGUUCAGUUGAGAGCGUUGGCCGUUGCUGCCCCUAAGUUCAGCUCUCAUAGAGGCUCAGACUGGAUUUGACGCGUCUAUUCAUGAGGGCUGAAUGGAAAACUGUGGGGCCUGAAAAAAGAGCCCUUCUUUUCUUUAUGAAGGAGCCUCGAUAUCUGCCGGCUUGCUUUGCAUCAGAAUAACUCAGCACUUGCUUGUCAACCAGGUUGGUUAUGGGAAGAGGAGACAGCAGGAAUCUGGUUUAUUUGGAUGCUGCCUGAAUGCAAACACAGGAAUUCCUGAAUAAGUGGAGAAUUUCUUCUGAAAAAACCGAACAUCAGCAACACUAUAAAAGUGGUCAAAGACACACGCAGAUGUACUAAAAAGGAACAAUAUUUCACUGCUGAAAGCAUCAAAAACACUUCAGUGUGCAGUGAAGAUCCAUCCUCUGCUUCUUUUUGUUGCUUAAAUCAAACAAACUCCAAACACUGGAUGGAAAAUUCAUCUUCUCCUCCAGCACGGCGAGGCCCUGCUCACCAUAAAAUUGGAGAAAAUCUCGAAUUUCUCGAGAGGAUGUGCUCCUUUUUUUUCUCCACUCCCAAGCUGAUUUCUCUUUCUCUCACCUCCAUCUGUCCGCUCACUCCAUCUCCACUCUCGAGGCUGCACAACCUGUUCACGGGAAAUUACUUAUUCAUCACUUCCUCGGCUGUAGCAGCGAGAAAAGGCCGCGGAUUAGCUCGCUGUAUCUUCAGGCAAACACACACUCCCAAACACACACACACACCUGAAAUCUGCAGCCUCCUCUGUCCUUAGGCAGCAACUUUUUGGAUUAAGUGUUAAUUCUUUGUGAUGAAUGUAAUGAAUUUGCCAUCAUGCACUCAAUAAAUGACUGCAGUCAUCCUCCAGAGGUGGUCAGUUUAGGGGAAGAAGCUGAUUGCUGCAGCUUUUUCACGCUGAUCUGAGAUCUACAUCGGCCUCUGAAGAAAGAGAGAAACCAGCUCUGACACGAUAAAACUAAACGAUGCUACUCUCUGAAGGGCAGCCUUCAAAUCCUUAAAUCUUCAAAUCCCUGGUUACUAAAUGAUUACCAUUUCACCGCCUGGAUCCUUUGCACCGCAACAUUCAUCUUUGCCACUCUUAUCCCCACAAACUUACAAAAAGAACGAGCAAGAGGGAUUUCAAGUUUCCCUCAAGGACACUAAGAUGAGAUACGGGACGAUAAACAGACGGUGAUGAUGUCUUCACUCACAGAAUGGAUGAACCAAGUUUUGGCAGCGGCUUCAAAUGACGAAAUUUAUCUUGCAGGAGAAAAUUAAAGGAUGUGAGUUAGUGAUAGGGUCAAAUAUUUUAUAGCCUGAUCAGUUCAAACUCACUUUUCACUUUGAAUAGUUCCCCUUUAAAUAGAGAGAGUAACCUUGUGAACGGAGAUUUCAGGUGUGGAUGAUGUGUUUGAUGGAUGGAAGCACGCAGCUCUGCAUUUAUAAAAGCAGAUGUGUUUAAUCGUCUCUGUUUUAUCGUCCAGGCUUUCAGGACUGGGUCGACAUUUUAAUUUUAGGAAAACUAAACUACUUUACUGUCAGUCAACCCUGGGAGUUUAAAUGCCAUCUUCCAUCAUGGUGGUCUGUGUUCUGCCUGUUUUUGCUCUCCGUACAAGCUGUUUUUGUAAUGUGGACUCUUGAUUUUGCAGCAGAAUAAGAAGAGAUCGCCACAUUGAUAACCCUGCCCUCUGUUCAGAAACACACUCUCUCGUCUUCCAGCUUCACAGAUUUUUUUUUGUUAUAAAUGUUUGAGAAAAGUGGCAGCAGCUUGAGACGUCAUCUCUAAAAGGUGAACUUCGUCUUUCAGCCUGUUCUCCGCUCAGGUCUGGGGUAAUUACUUCGGCACACAGACAGAUUUACAGCUCUACAGCGGGGCACUAAAUCUCAUCUGGAGCUUCACAAACGACAGCGGGCGAUCGAUCAAUAAAGAGAGAGAGAGAUACACAGAGCGCUCAGGUAAUGUUAGUCCGCUCCAUACGGCUGAAUCCUCUGCAGGGUCUCCUUCUGUACAGUCAUUAUCCCUGAACCCUCACCAGCACCUAUUUCAGUCCAACACCAAUUACCCACAAACCCCUCUGUUCAUCUGUGAGAGCUGGGAGAGCGUGAAAAGGUCUGAGAUUUAACGGCUUUCUGCAGGAGUGAGCAUUAUUGUACUUCAUAAUUUAAGCUUAUUAGCAUACAGGUGAUAAAAGGCUCAUUUAAAGCUGUUAAUUACAGGCAGACAGACAGGUGUGUCCACUUUUUGGCCAUUAAAGAGACAAUAAAACAAGAUAUAAAGUAGUAACUAAACUAGGGGGGUCAUUUGUGAGGACAUUUUUCCUUCAAAGAUCUGGAUUUUUCUGCAGAUUUCAUCCAAUUAAAGUCGUUUAUUCAUGGAGAAAACUGAGAGGCCACUCCCUCCCCCGUCAAUGUUCUGAUCAAUUCAGUAUAGAUUCGCCCUCUUUUAACACCAUUAUCCUCAUCUCCUAUUGAAUGUUUUUUGGCCUUCAUUUGCCCGAGCUCCUCCCCGUCGAUCAUAAUUAUCAGUAGUGAUUGAUGAAACUGGAGAGGAAACAAGACGCACACCCAGUCACUUUCAAUGCAAGAGCAGGAAGUCAACAAAGUGGAGUCUGUGGGGCUUUUAAAUAGGAUGAGGAGUUUGGAGGGCCUCCUGAAGUCGAAUAAAUCUCAUUCAGCUGAGUGAGUUUGUGAAGCACGGAAGGCUGACUGGAAAAUAAAGCUCCAUAAAAAGGUUAAACGGCUGUUUCACCUCUGGAACAAACACAACGGUUUGCUUAAAUGAGUGAGCGACAGCAGACAGAUGGAGAUGUUUGGACAAAAGAGGGUGAAAAGUACAGAAGAGACAGAAACUUUGAGACUCUGGGGUCACUGAGGUCACACAAGUUCCUGAAAACUGCAUUCUUCCUCAUGCCUCAUAACUCUCGUAGUUGAAUCUCUCAGGCAAUUGAUUUCCCUCAGGCUUGAGGGUCUCACUCUCUAACUUUAUUUACUUUAUGUUAGAUGGGAUUCGUAUCUUCAGAAAGUUUGAAACAGAACUUUUUAUACUGUUUGUUACUCAAAUUAAGCAAAAGUAGUCAGUAGUGUGAGUAAGUUUCCUGCAGUAGCUCAGAGUUCUGUUAUUUGGGGGUGAAAUGACAGAAAUGGUCAAAGAAGGAGUCUAAAAGGAUCUGAAAGUUGCUCAUAAUCCUUAUUGGAUUCCUCAACAGAAUUAAAGAGGUGUUCACUUAAAGCCUAAACCCUCAGCUAUCGUACUGUUUUCCAUUCAUGAGUAUCAGCAUGAAUAAAAAACGACAAACUAAAGUGAGCUAUGGCAAUCAAAGGAUUGAAAUUCAGGGUAAACUCGACUCUGAGGUUAAUAUUAUGUCAGUUUUCAGGAUUUCUCUAAAAGCAGGAAUAUAAUCCUGCUCCGUGUCGUGUUUGUUCCUCAGUUUGAUAAAGAGGAACUCGUGGUCUCUGCACUAAUCCUCUGCAGCCCGAGGCCGGGACGAGCCGGCCUCUCUGAGAGUUUGAGGCAAAGUGUUACGACCUGACGGGAGCUUAGUGUUCACCAUAUGGUGUUGUGGUUUUCAGGGGCCAUUUCUGUGGGUGAGUGUGUGUGUGUGUGUGUGUGUGUGUGUGUGUGUGUGUGUGUGUGUGUGUGUGUGUGUGCGCGCGCGCACACAGGAGCGGUUUGGGGGAAAAGAUUAGCUCUGUGGUCGCUGUCAUGCUGUGUGCUCUGAACUCUCUGUAGAGGAAAUUUUUAUUGAUUUGAAUUCCUUCAGUUUGAAGUCUGGAACGUAAACCUGAGUUAAAGUUUAAGUUAAGCUAAAGUUAAGUCUAAGUUACAAAUAUAGUUAUUGUUAUUUUUUUUAGUUGUAGUUACAUUACAGUUGAACGUUUGUGAUAAAAUUGAGUUUCUUGAAUGAAUUGAAUGAAUAUUAUUUUUUUGUUUUCUGUAUUUAAAAGUUUUGUUUCAGCAGUUUUUGACACAUUUAAUGAAAUAUUUAAAUUUUUUUCAUUUGGUUAAAUUAUUCCUGUUUUUUAUUUUAACCGUGGUUUAUAUUUUUCUAUUUUUCAUGUUUUUUUCUUCAUGUCAUGAAAUCUUUUGGUGUCCUCCGGUUUUCCUUUUUUUGUUUCGUUAAUUUUUUGGUGUUCAAGUCUGUAAAUCUGAACUUUUGAAACAUGGGACUCAUUUCAGUGUCAGGUUCAACCCUGCAGUGAUUGGGUUUUACCUCUGGGCUUGAAGGACCAGGGUUGACUCAUCUGUUGCUGCAGGCCUGGACUCAAUCUUUUCCUUCUUGACUCAGCUGAAACUCCUGUCAAAAGGAGAGACCCUGUGAGUCAGCACAUCAGAGACGGUUUCAUUCAGUAAAAAGUUCUUUAAAACUCUCUGUGGUUUCUUAGAAGUUUGGGGUUGACCUGUUGAUCUGAGUCUGAUUUAGAGGAUAAUGGUUUUCAGAAGUUUUUAGGGACAUGAAAGUGAUGCAGAUAGUGUCACUGAGGGAUAUUAUCAGCUGAAUUUUCUUACUAUAACAUCACAGGCUCUCUCUGUGUCUCUGGUUCGGCUCAGACAGGUUCUUCUCUGUGACCUGAACAUCUUCUGCUGUAACAGGGCAGAUAAAUCUGUCUUGUGGCCUCGCCGUCUGCUUACGAAGGAGGUCCAAACACAGUGUCGUACUCUUGUGUGAUCCGUCUGCAGUCUGAUUCACUUAAUUAAUUAACUAAUGGGCUGAAAAUAGAUCAGAUGACCCGGUCACCGUUUGACUGACGGAGUGGAGCGGGAGGUGGAGGACUCCGUCAUCGAGGUAAAAACAGGACAGGGAUGUUUGGCACAGCAUGGAUCGGACUAUCUGCAGCGUUGCAUCAGGAUCCUUUAACGCUGUGAAAAUGAAGGAAGAAGAGCUGUCCCUGCACACAACAUGAGAGUGUGUGCAGGGAACCUGAAUAAUAACAACUGUUUAAUUUGUUUGUUUGUUUGUUUAAAACUUUAAAUUAGCUGAAUAACAUCGAGGAGUCCAGAAACCUGCAGGCUGACUGUGCUGUCAACAGGUUCAUGCUAAUUAGAUUUAAAUGAGUGGACGAUAAGGGCCUGAAGGAGGGUCUGCUUUAUUGCUUUGUUCCUCAGGCUCUCAGCUGAGUUAGUUAAACAGCCUCUACAUUUUACACUAAUGCAGGUGUGACGCUUUCUUUUUAUCAUCUCUUUCAAUGAAAUAAUCAUCAAAUAUACUCUGGCACUCUGCACACACGGACUGAGCUCUGAGGUACUUUCAGAUGAACCCUGAAGCUACUUUUUUAAUAGAUUUUAUUCAUUAGAAAACACAGCUAAUCCUCCAACACACAAAGUACUGAGUGGAAUUAAAUCUGACGAGGUCUAAAAAUCUCAAGACUUUUCCCUCCAACUGUAAAAACUUACAUUUUAACAAUAUAAAAGCAUCUCGUAGAUCUGAAGCAUCAGUGUCAGACUAAACAGCCUGUGUUGAUACUGUUGAUGUUGUUGUUGUAGUGGGUUUGUGUGAAUCACUACACCUUUAUUUAGUCCACAGCCUGUUCAUUCAGCCCUCUAAACCUGUUUAUUGUCGUGUUUCCCGUCAGUCCAAUUAGUCCAAACUGGAAGAGAGGAAGUGGAUAUGUAGGCCAUCAGGUAAGUGUAUGUGUGUGUGUGUGUGGAGGACAGAGCGCUCUGAUGCAGGAGCCUCUAAUCCAAUGGAGAAGGGGGGGAGAGAGAGAGUGUGGACACAGCAGAGGAUUAUGGGAUUAGAGAUAGGGAAGAUGUGACAUGAGAUGGCCACUCUGCAGCUGCAAAGCUCUGUGAUGCUGGCAUGUCUGCGGCUGCCAUGGCAACAGGGGCAAGGACAGGUACUGAUACUGUCUGGUGUGUUUUUCUGAGGGGUAAAGUGUCUCAUAAAGUGCAUUUGAAAACUCUAAAUCUCUUGGACAGAUUUUAAACUUCUCUACUGUUUGUACCUGUUGAUCUCAUUGUUACAGAUAGAUUCUUUAGAUUCAUAAAAAACUUGUUAUUCGAGUAAAAAUUGGUGUUAACAGCAGAAAUCUGAGGAGUCUGAGACAGCAGCAUGUCUAAAAGAAGAGAAACUGACUAAAUUAAAGUCACUCAUGGGUCUAAAAAAGCAGAAUUUCCCUCCUUUCCACUCAUAAAAACAUCAUUUUUCUGUCCUGACUGUUUAGCAGAGACAUCCUAUCCUCUGAGCUCCAGGCAACAACUGCUGACCUUCAAGAAAACCACCUGAGUGUCUCGAUUGCAGCCAUAACUCAAGGUAAUGCCCUCCACAGAAACACUCACAGCCGCUCUGACCCUCAGAAAACUCUUUCCCGCCUCCUAAUAUCCACUUUAUGGUGGUUUGUCGGCGGCCACGGCGUGAACAACCAAAUGAGCCAGAUGGGAUUCAGGGUCUGAAGGGAGAUUAAGGAUGUGUCCAGAUUACGCUGUGAUCAGCAGCCAGAAACACUGACACCGUGCCAGGAGGUAAUCCAGCCGAGGAGGAUGGCAGCCAGGCCGGGCGCCACCGUGACGCCACUAGACAAGAAGUCAGCAGAGCUCCUGACACAGCAGGAGGGACAGCCUGUGAUCUGCCUUUUAUUUAUUUUAUUCAUUAUAGAUUUUUAAAAGUGGGUGACACGACCUGCUGCAUCCUCGAACAUUAUAAACAACUUUUGAAAAAAUUAAGUGAGCAUCAGUGACCAUUUCCUGCUAUUCCUCUUCAUCCCAAAC